GAUAAAUUUAGCGAAAGUGAAAAAUUCCCACUAGCAACACUGUCCAUCAUCCAGACGACAAGAUGGCGUCGAGUGAAGGCACGGCCGACGACUCCCUUUACCCUAUCGCCGUGCUUAUUGACGAACUCAGGAACGAAGACGUGCAGCUGCGUCUCAACUCCAUCAAGAAGCUGAGCACCAUCUCCCUGGCCCUGGGCGUGGAGAGGACCCGCAGCGAGCUCAUCCCCUUCCUCACUGACACCAUCUAUGAUGAGGAUGAGGUGCUCCUGGCCCUCGCAGACCAGCUGGGCGCCUUCACUCCCCUUGUGGGCGGACCAGAGUAUGUCCACUGUCUGCUGCCACCACUGGAGUCCCUGGCCACGGUGGAGGAAACAGUGGUGAGGGACAAGGCUGUGGAGUCCCUGCGUCGCGUGUGUGAGGAGCACAGCCCUGAGCACCUGGAGACCCACUUCCUGCCCCUGGUCAAGCGUCUAGCCGUGGGGGACUGGUUCACUUCAAGGACCUCGGCUUGUGGACUCUUCUCGGUGGCUUACCCCAGGCUGUCCGUGGCCACAAAAGCUGAGUUGCGGUCACACUUCCGCUCCCUGUGCCAGGAUGACACUCCCAUGGUUCGCCGAGCGGCUGCCGGCAAGCUGGGAGAGUUUGCCAAGGUGGUGGAAGUGGAGUACCUCAAGACGGACCUCAUCCCCAUGUUUAUCACCCUGGCCCAGGACGAACAGGACUCCGUGAGGCUGCUGGCGGUGGAGGCGUGUGUGAGCAUGGCCGGUCUUCUUCCCCAGGAGGACACGGAGCUCCAGGUGAUGCCCACACUCCGGCAGGCCGCUGAGGACAAGUCUUGGAGGGUCAGGUACAUGGUUGCCGAUCGGUUCAUUGACCUCCAGAAAGCGGUUGGUCCAGACAUCACCAAGAAUGACCUGGUGGCUGCCUUCCAGUCCCUGCUCAAGGAUGUGGAGGCUGAGGUGAGGGCAGCAGCGGCGGGCAAGGUCAAGGACUUCUGCCAAAACGUUGACCCCAGUGUGCAGGAAACUGUGAUAAUGAACAACGUCUUGCCCUGCGUUAAGGAGCUUGUGAGUGACGGUAACCAGCACGUGAAGUCCGCCCUGGCUGGUGUGAUCAUGGGGCUGUCUCCUAUCCUGGGCAAGGACAACACUGUGACCCACCUCCUGCCACUCUUCCUGUCCCAGCUCAAAGACGAGUGCCCUGAAGUCAGGCUCAACAUCAUCUCCAACCUGGACUGUGUUAACGAGGUCAUCGGCAUCCAGCAGCUGUCCCAGUCUCUGCUGCCGGCCAUCGUGGAGUUGGCCGAGGACAGCAAGUGGAGGGUGCGCCUGGCCAUCAUUGAGUACAUGCCCCUCCUGGCUGGCCAGCUCGGGGUGGACUUCUUCAACCAGUCACUCUCAAAACUGUGCAUGACCUGGCUAGUGGACCAUGUGUAUGCCAUCCGUGAGGCCGCCACCAACAACCUCCGCAAGCUUGUUGAGAAGUUUGGACCAGAGUGGGCGGCACAGAACGUCCUUCCCAAGAUCAAUGCCAUGUCCCGCGAUGGCAACUACCUCCACCGCAUGACCUGCCUGGCCUGCAUCAACGUUGUGGGUGAGGUCUGUGGCCGUGAGCUGACCACCAAGACGCUGCUGCCGACCGUUCUGGCCAUGGCCAACGACAAUGUGCCCAAUGUGCGCUUCAACGUGGCCAAGACUCUACAGAUCAUCGGCCCUCACAUAGACAAAGAGUCGCUACACACGCAGGUUAAGGCCGUGCUGGACAGGCUCAACGAUGACUCGGACACGGACGUCAAAUAUUUUGCUUCAGAGGCACUAACAGAACAUGGACUUGCCUAAAAUUUGAGGAGAAUACUUUCCAAAAUUUUCUGGCCCAUCGGGAAAAUUUUGACUGAAGAAGGAUUAUUUGGCCAUGACCCCACUGUUUGCUGCAGCCUGAACACCAGCUGACGUAACCUGACCUGACCCCCACCAGCUGACCAGGGGAUAGCGAGCGUACAGCACCAUAGACCACCUUGGACCAUUAUUUUAUUAUUAUUAUUAUUUUUUCAUUUCCUAGCCUGUCCACAUGCAAACAGUGAGGUCGUAGUACUGUUAUGAUUAUUAUUAUUAAUGUUACUACUACUACUACUGCUGCGAUUACUACUACUACUACUAUUACUGCUAUUAUUGUCAUCAGAGUCAUAUUUUUAUUAGGUGACUAACUAGCUAGUUUCUGGGUCACUUAGCGAGGAGACAGAAGCUGAUUUGAUAGAUUUUUUCCUUCUCUUAAAUAUUUGUUUUCAUUCCUUAGUGAAAGUGAAAGAGAGAGAAUGAGGGUGUGUGCAUGUGUGUGUGUGUGAGAGAGAGAGAGAGAGAGAGAGAGAGAGAGAGUGUAGUUUGCAAGUAGGGCAAUGAAAGAUUAGGGCAAUGAAAGAUUAAUAUUAACUAGUAUACUCUUUAUAUAAACUAUACAUGUCAUACACAACCUAGGCUAUAAGUGAGCAAGAAUAGGGUAUACCAACCUGACCUAAUAACAACAACAACCAUUGUUAUUAACUAUUAUUGGCAUUUAUUCACUCAUGGUUAAGUCAGUCACACACCCAGUUUGGAUUAAGGGGGAUAUUUUUAUUAUUAUUAUCAACAAAACCUUCAUUUCUGUCCCUUAGUUUGUUGGUUGAGAGAAAUUUGUGAUUGAGGACUAUAUUAAACUCAAAUUUAUAAUCCAUUUUUAUUAUUAUUAUCAACAAAACCUUAAUUUCUGUCUCGUAGUUUGUUGAUUGAGGACUAUAAUAAACUCAAAUUUCUAAUCCAUUUUUAUUAUUAUUAUCAACAAAACCUUAAUUUCUGUCCCUUAGUUUUGGGGUUGUCUGAUAAUUUGUCCUCAAUGUCAUGAAGCAAAUUUGAGCUUGUGUCAAUAUUAUAAAUGUGGAGUCUGAUUUUGAUGUUUAAUUUUGCCUUUCUAAUCAGUUCAGAGCUCUCCCUUGGCCUCUUCCUUCCUCCCUGUGGUUUCAUUCACAUUAUUUGCCCUCCUACAGACUCCUUUUCUUCCUCCUUUUCUUCAUUUCCAUACCACUUCAGUCCUGUUUCUUGUCUUCCUUAAUACAGUCCACCUACCUCUCCCUUGCCUGUGUAAUCAAGUCUGACCUCUCCCUUGGCCUCUUCCUUCCUCCCUGUUGUUUCAUUCACAUUAUUUGCCCUCCUACAGACUCCUUUUCUUCCUCCUUUUCUUCGUUUCCAUACCACCUUAGUCCUGUUUCUUGUCUUCCUUAAUACAGUUCACCUACCUCUCCCUUGCCUGUGUAAUCAAGUCUGACCUCUCCCUUGGCGUCUUCCUUCUUCCCUGUGGUUUCAUUUUUAUUAUUUCCCUCCAACAGACUCCUUUCCUUUCUCCUUUUCUUCAUUUCCAUACCACCUCAGUCCUGUUUCUUGUCUUAAUACAGUUCACCUACCUCUCCCUUGCCUGAGUAAUCAAGUCUGACCUCUCCCUUGGCCUCUCCCUUCCUCCCUGUUGUUUCAUUCACAUUAUUUGCCCUCCUUCAGACUCCUUUUCUUCCUCCUUUUCUUCGUUUCCAUACCACCUCAGUCUUGUUUCUUGUCUUCCUUAAUACAGUUCACCUACCUCUCCCUUGCAUGUGUAAUCAAGUCUGACCUCUCCCUUGGCCUCUCCCUUCCUCCCUGUUGUUUCAUUCACAUUAUUUGCCCUCCUACAGACCCCUUUUCUUCCUCCUUUUCUUCGUUUCCAUACCACCUCAGUCUUGUUUCUUGUCUUCCUUAAUACUGUUCACCCAUCUCUCCCUUCCUUUCUCUCUCUCCCUCACUCUCCUCUCCUCCUCCUCCUCCUCUUUACAUACCAUCCUAAUCUCGUCUCUCAUCCCUCAUUUCCAUGCAAGAGGUGAUACAUUUUCCUCUCAACACCGCCCCCCAAAAUCCUCCUCGAACUCUCCCUGAAAAUAUAAAUGCCUUGACUUUUCCACGAGUAUAUCCUUGCCAGUAACCGUUUGUGUGUCUAAAUCUUCAUGAGCGGUCAGAUUUUUUUUCGGUUAGUGCUUCCCUUCCUUCCCCUUCAUUUCUCGUGAUUUCAAGAAGGAUGUGUUUGUCUUAUGUUUGUUUUUAUAUGUGAGAUUUAGUCCGUGAUCCCAAUAAAAUAGUUUCGAGAUCAUUUUUGUGUUCAAUGGAAGAAGAUGCUAAUAAAAUGUACUUGUUGUGGA